rnacentral:ncRNA from 1 species
GUUUGGACGAUGAUGGGAAAGAGUACAAAGAGAAAUUGCAACAAGCGAAAAUGGGACAGUGGAAGCCAUUUGCAAGGAACCUUUGGAAGUGCGUCUCUGAGUUGAUCGGCAGAAACCUGAAGUAUGCCUAUCCGUAAUGACUGCGUUAAAGUUGUAAGCUGGAACGAACGGCACGUUCGUUCAAACAGAGUGGGACCGCGGAAUCUUUCGUCUCUGGA